rnacentral:lncRNA from 1 species
AGAGAGAGGGUUCAAGGAAAUGGGUAUGGGGCUAAGGAUUUAAAGUAGAUAGAGGAUUUAUUAUAGAAAGGAAAAGGGGAAGAGAGAGAAAGAAAAACAAGGGAAGAGAGAGAGAGAAGGGGGGUGUUAAGAUGUCACAGAUGCAGUGGUUGGAAGAGAGGGAGUUUACUUGGGUUUUGGUCAAUCUUGGAAUAAGAAAUGAGGGUUUUCAGGAGAGAGAGAGAGAGAGAGGAGAGAGGAGAGAGGAGAGAGAAAGAGAGUAGGCGGAGGAAUUUGCUUCAAGGAAGGAGGAGAGAGCUGGGGGUUGGAGGGGGGAGCUGUUUCUUGCGACCUCUGUCACUCCUCUUUCUCUCUCUAAGCCGUCUUUUUUUUUUUUAAGAGACGAGUCCUUUAGUUGGCAUGCCUCCUCCUCUCUCCACUGGUUCGAUGGGAAGUCCACC